UACAGAGGUCUCAAGCGUUGUUCGGAUUCAUUGGGCGUAAAGCGUGCGCAGGCGGUUUGUUAAGUCUGUUGUGAAAUCCCCGAGCUCAACUUGGGAAUUGCAAUGGAUACUGGCAGGCUGGAGUAUGGUAGAGGAAGGUGGAAUUCCCGGUGUAGCAGUGAAAUGUGUAGAGAUCGGGAGGAACACCAGUGGCGAAGGCGGCCUUCUGGACCAAUACUGACGCUCAUGCACGAAAGCGUGGGGAGCAAACAGG
rnacentral:rRNA from 1 species